GGCUCUUUUGACUUUUCUCCAAUCACUUUUCCUAUAUAGGUUUUUCGGAACAUGAAAACCAUUACCAAAGCCUUUAAGCUCAUUGAUGUUAACAAGACAGGGCUGGUUCAGCCACAGGAACUGAAGCGGCUUCUGGAGACCUUCUGCUUGAAGAUGACGGAUGAGGAAUACAAAAGGCGAGGGCGCCGGGCAGGUGGAGGUGCUGGGAACUUUGGCAGCCACACAGCUGACUGUGGCUGGGCCCCGCCCACCUCCUCUCUGGGUGUUUCUACUGGGUCCUGAAGCUCCCUGCAAAUUUUCCAGAGCAAUACCUGCUGGUUCUCCGUUCCCUGAGCACCCUGGGGCAGGGCCUGCAGGUUGGAACAGGGGAACAGGCUGCUCCUUCCCCAGCCGCCUCCCUGCCCUCUGGGGCGCCAUGCCCUCCGUCCUCACUCUGCUCUGAACAGUUAGGUUUUACUCCAAGCCCCAAGUCAGGAGGAGAAGCAGCAGCUGCUCCUGAUGGCUCUCCCUCUGGAUGUCAUGACAGAAAUGUCAUCGUCCUUGCAGGAUGGUGGCUGGGGGUGGGUUGUGGCAGGGAGUGGGCAUAGCACCGUGUCAAAGCCACACCACCUGCUCCCGAUUUGUGCAGCGCCCGUGGGAGUGCGUUUGGACCUCCAGUGGACUCUAGGUCCUUUAGAGGAAGCCAGAGGGCUUCUGUGCUGGUGGAGGGUGGCCUGGCCUGGCUUAUCUGUGAGAGUCCCGCUGGGAAGGCACCCUCUUCCUGCCUUUCCUGGGUGCUGCCCUUCCUGUGGUUUUAGCUACCACAGUCCAAAAAUGUUGAAUGGAAAAUUCCAGAAAUAAUUCCUACAUUUGAAGUAACUUCCAUCACAGUGUGCCAUUUUGUCUGUCCUAUUUUAUCAUCAGUUGUUGGUGGUGACCUCACAGUGCCGUGCCUUAGGCUUUAUCAUCAGUGUACUCCUAGAGGAGCGAAGCCUAGGUGUGUGGGCUCACUGCUACCCAGGCUCAGGGGACCGGCCCUCCAGGCAGUUUGCAAAAGGAGGGAGCAUAUUAUCUCAGCCGGGGACUGUGACACAAGCUGUCAUUAAAGCUGGCCGCUGUCACUCCAGAGAAGCCUCAGGAAGCCUCACAAAGACAGGGUCGAUGCUGGAAGUGGAGCAAUCCGCCCCCAGGGCAAGGCAGCGGAAGGGGCAUUGCCCUGGGUACAGACACUGCAGGGCGAACAGCGAGGAGGCUUUAGAAAAACGGGUCUUUCCCACUCCUGUGAAGGCUUUUUCUUCUUUUUUCCUCUUUACAACCCACCUCAUAUUAUAAAAGACAUAAUAGAUGUUUUAAUUUUUACAUCCUUUCCGGCUGGGAAAGUGCCCAGAAUAAGAUCCAAACAAAACAAAUUAAAUAAUUUUGUGCGUGCAAUUAUAGAACAGAACAGCACUCUUCUAAAACAGGCAAUCAAAAAACAAAGCAGUGUUUUAUUUGACAAUAAACCUUGUGUUUGGCACCGCAGUCUCCAACCUAGUAAAUCUAUAAAAAAUGUUACUGUCUGUUUUCCCAUCUCUUAAGUAUUGAAUAAUAAAGAACUCUACAAAUUUUUA
rnacentral:lncRNA from 1 species